UGGGCGAGCUGUCCGAGGAGGGCGCGGAGCGCGGCGGCGAGCUGGAGGCGGCGGCCAGGCCCUCGUGAGAGGCCGCGUUGUGCAGGGGCCGGUAGCGUGUGAGCGGCGAAGGUGGCGGCUCGUCCUCAUCCAGACUGCGCCGCAAACCUGGAGGCUCCAGGCAGAAAGAGCCCCCGGCUGGGGAGCCCGGACCCGAGUGCAAAGGCGAGCGCAGCCGGUGCAGGGGACUCCCGCAGCCAUCGGUCACCUGGGGGAGGGAACAGCCCUUCACCAAGGACUUUCCUUCUCCCUUCCCAAAGGGUGAGGAGACCCGCGCACCCUGCCCACGGUGCUGGAGCUGGCUCCUGAGUCCUGCUAGGGCCUGGACAGGGUCCCCUGUCUUUUUGCAGCACAGCAGCCAGUGUGAUCCUAAUGAAACCUGUCGGCUGUCACUCCUCUGCACAGAACCCUCCAGUGACUUCCCAUCUCAAACAGAGUCUUUUGCUCAGUGUCAUGGAGGACUUCCCAGACCACUCAGUUGAUGUCGCCUUCCCAUACACACUCCAAAACCCCACUCCUACUUUUUCCACGUCAUUUAUCACUCUCUAGCAUAUUGUAUUAUUUAAGUUUAUUGUCUGUCUUCACUCCUUAGAAUGUCAGCUCCACAAGGACAGAUUUUUCUCUAUCUUGUUCACUACCCCAGGCAUAGGACAACAUCUGGCACAUAGUGCACAUAGUAGGCACUUAGUUAAGUACUUGUUUUUCAUUUUUGUUUUUGCAGUAACCAGGGUCUCCCACAUGCUAGGCAAGUGCUCUAUCACUGAGCUACAC